rnacentral:rRNA from 1 species
UACGUAGGGGGCAAGCGUUGUCCGGAAUCAUUGGGCGUAAAGAGCGCGUAGGCGGCCCUGUAAGUCCGCUGUGAAAGUCAAGGGCUCAACCCUUGAAUGCCGGUGGAUACUGCAGGGCUAGAGUCCGGAAGAGGCGAGUGGAAUUCCUGGUGUAGCGGUGAAAUGCGCAGAUAUCGGGAGGAACACCAAUGGCGAAGGCAGCUCGCUGGGACGGUACUGACGCUGAGACGCGAAAGCGUGGGGAGCAAACAGG